CAUUAUAAAGAUCUUUUUUCAUUUCUUGUUAUGGUAUCAGAGCCCUAGUAGCUCUCACAAGCAAGGUUCAUCAAUGGCUGUUUCACCAUCUUCUUCAACCUCUAUACCACCAAAUCUUAGUUUACUCAUCUCAAAUUUCAAUUCUCUAGUAAUAGUAAAGCUUGAUUCCUUCAAUUUUCUUAUCUAGAAAAAUCAGUUUCAAAAUGUGCUUAGAGCCACAGAUUUGCUUGAUUUUGUAAUUGGAAUGAUUCUAUGUCCAAAACCUCAGAUCCUUGAUGCAUCUGGAACAGUAAUUGCUAAUCCAGAAUUUACGAAGUGGAAAAUCAUAGAUACACAUUUGUUAAGUUGCAUUACUACCACUCUCUCCUCCCUUGUGUUUUCAACUGUUCUCCAUAACCAACAUUGUGCUCAAGUAUGGAGUGCUCUAGAGAAGAGAUUUACCUCACUCUCUCGAUCUCAUAUUCAUCAAUUACAGAAUAAAAUCCAAUCAGUCUCAAAGAAAGGACUCUAAAUGGAGGAGUAUUUGAAUCGGAUCAUAGAUAUUGCAAAUCAACUCAUUCUUGCCUCCGCCGCAGUUGAAGAUGAAGAUCCGGUUUUGUUAACACUCAAUAGAUUACUAGAUGAGUACGAGGCAUUGAAAACUACCAUACAAGCUAGAGUAGAGGCCAUUACUAUGGAGGACUUGUGUUCAUUGCUAUGUUCUGAAGCAAUAUAUGUGGAAAAUAAAACUAAACAUGCUCUUAUCGAUGAUUUGCCAAUGGCUUGUGCUGCAACUAAAGGAUCGGAGUGUAGUUCUGCUUCAUAUCCUCAGUAUACUAGAGGAUACUCAUGGAAAUUCAGGUAGAUAUCAAUUUCAUGGUACUAGAAAAGGAAGAGAUAGAGCUAAUGGAAGGUAUACCAAUCACAGUUUCAGACGUAGGUAUGGAGGAAAUUCAGGGAGAUAUGAAAGUAAUUCUUCACAUACUAGUUGUCAAAUUUGUGAAGGUCAUAAUCAUAGUGCUCUUGAUUGCUAGUUUCGAAUGAAUCCAGUCUAUCGGCCUUCUCAGGCUUCUUCUUCAUCUCACUUUCAGUCCUUUCCUAAUUUUGUACCACACAAUCUAGGGCUUACUCUGUUACUGCAAAUCAAUCUUCUUCUAAUCAGUCCUUUGCUCUAUUUGAAUCACCUACUCCUUGGUACAUAGACUCAGCAGCUACUAAUCAUAUCACAAAUGAUUUGGCUAAUCUCCAACUCUAUUAAACUUACCAAGGCUCAGAUCAAGUCAUUAUUGGUAAUGGUCAAGUUGUUCCCAUUCAACACAUUGGACAAGCAUACGAACAAGGUUAUGCAUCAAGGACCUAAUAUUCAUGGACUCUAUCACUUUGCUCUUUCAUCCUCUUCCAUGAUUGCUUAGGCUCAUGUUACUCAGGCACAAUCACAAGUCUCUGUGUCUAUUUGUCAUCAAAGACUUGGUCACUCUUCUACUUUAAAACUUUAUCAUAUUGUUCAACACUUGCCUGCUACAUUUCACAAUAAAGAUUGUAUUUCAUUAGCUUGCACUUCUUGUAGUGUUGCUAAGAUACAUAGGCUGCCUUUCAAAUUGUCUACUUCUACUGUUAAUAAACCCUUUUCUCUUGUGUAUAGUGAUGUUUGGGGACCAUUUCAUGCUUAUUUGCUUGGAUAUAAAUACUAUCUCUUGUUUGUUGACGAUUUCACAAGGUUUAUUUGGAUUUAUCCUAUUUAUGUUAAGUGUGAAAUCUUUUCCACUUUUCUUGUGUUUAAAGCCUAUGUUGAAAAACAAUUUGACACAUUCUUGAAAAUUCUAAGGACUGAUAAUGGGACUGAGUUUGUUAAUCAUCAAAUGGAUAGUUAUCUUGCUCAAAAUGGUAUUAUUCAUCAUCUCACUUGUCCUUACACUCUAGAACAAAAUGGCAUAGCUGAAAGGAAACAUCAACACAUUGUUGAAACUGCCAUUGUAUUAAUGUAUUAGUCUUGCGUGCCUCUUGCAUACUGGUUUGAAGCUCUAGUUACGGCCAUGUUUCUUAUAAAUAAAAUGCCUAGUUUGUCUCUUCACAAUAAAUCUCCUUUUCAGCUACUCUUCCAUGUACUGGUUUGAAGCUCUAGUUACAGCCAUGUUUCUUAUAAAUAAAAUGCCUAGUUUGUCUCUUCACAAUAAAUCUCCUUUUCAGCUACUCUUCCAUGUUAUACCAGAUUAUGUAUUUUUUUAAGGUGUUUGGUUGCCAAUGUUUUCUUUGGCUUCGGCCUUAUAUUGAUCAUAAACUUCAACCAAGAUCUUCUCCUUGUGUUUUCUUAGGCUAUCAUCCUUCAACUAAAGGAUACAGGUGUUUGGAUCCCUCAAAUGGAAAAAUUUAUUUGUCAAGACAUGUCUUGUUCAAUGAGUCUUGCUUCCCAUUUGCUACUUAUACACCUAGUUCUCCUACUGUACCUACUCUUACAUUCUUUUUCUGGUCUAAUUCUCAGUCUGCAGUCUCUCCAUCACCUAUACUUGCCUCUUGUCCAUCACUCUCUCCAAUAGUCCCUAUAUCUGACCAUUCUAUAGCACCUGUUGCUUCUUCCUCUCAACUUGUAAUUUCUGUUCCUGCGGUACCUGACUUAGCUACAGUUCCUCCUUCUUCUUAUAUUCCUAUUGAGUCUAUCUCUAUUCACCUACCAUUCCUUCAUUUCACUUUUCUUUAAUUAACACUCAUCCUAUGACUGCUAGGUCUAAAGCCUCUACCAGUUCCUUCUUGUCAUCUUACUCACACUCCUCCAGUGGAUCUUUCUUAUACUGAGCCUCAGACUGCUACUCAAGCUUUAACCUCUCAUCAUUGGGUUAAUGCCAUGAAUGAAGAAUUUCAAGCUUUACAUAAACAAGGCACUUGGACUCUUGUUCCUCCCCCUUCUACCAAUCCACCAUUGGUUGUAAGUGGGUGUUUCAUAUUAAAAAGAAUUUUGAUGGCACCAUUGUUAGAUACAAGGCUAGGUUAGUUGCUAAGGGUUAUUUGCAACAAAAAUGUGUGAAUUAUGAUAAAACUUUUAGUCUUGUUGCUAAGCAACCCACUAUCUGAAUUUUCUUGUGUCUUGCUCUUCAACAUUUGUGGCCUCUCAAGCAGUUGGACAUAUCCAAUUCCUUCUUACAUGGAAAAUUGGAUGAAGAAGUUUAUAUGGUGCAACCUCAGGGCUUUGUUGAUUCCAACUUUACUCAUCAUGUGUGCAAACUGAACAAAGCCUUGUAUGGCCUCAAGCAAUCUCCUAGGGCUUGGUAUUCAACCUUCUUCUCUUUCUUACUUACUCAAGCUCUCAGUCAUAGCUAUUCUAAUCCUUCUUUCUUUGUCAAGAAGACAUCUAGUAGUAUCACUAUUCUUCUCAUCUGUGUAGAUGAUAUUUUGCUUACUGGAAGUGAUCCUAGUUUGAUUCAAGUCUUACUUGCUCAGAUGCAUGUGGCAUUUUCCAUGAAGGAACUAGGAGAUGUCUCCUAUUUUUUGGGGAUCUCAGUCCAAUCCCAUUCCACUGGUUAUUUUUAUCUCAGCAAAAGUAUGCUCAAGAGCUGCUACAUAAAGCUAGCAUGGAUCAUUGUAAGCCCUACUCCACAACAAUAACUCUUAAAUCUUCUGCUGUUUUUUCCUCCACUGAUGAGCUUCCUUAUGCUCAGCCUUGCUUUUAUAGAAGCUUAGUUGGUGCAUUACAGUACUUAACCAUUAUUAGGCCUGGCAUUGGCUUUACAGUCAAUCAGGCUUGUCAACAUAUUCAAGCUCCAACCAAUGCCCAUUUUGCACUAGUUAAACACCUGCUGAGAUAUAUUCAAGGAACUGUUUCUCAUGGUCUUAUUUUUAGACAAGGGUCCUAUGAUCUUCAUGCUUUCACUAAUUCCAAUUAGGUAGGGGAGUGCAAGGACAGAAGGUCCACUUCUAGGUUUUGCAUUUAUCUAGGCCCUAAUUUUAUCUCUUGGUCUGCCAAGAAGCAACCCACAGUCUCAAGAUCUUCCACUGAAGCUGAAUAUAGGUCUAUGGCUCACACUACAGUAGAAAUUUGUUGGAUUCAAACAAUUGCUCAAAGAUUUAUCCGUUCCUUCUUCCUCGGUGCCUGUGUUAUGAUGACAAUAUAUCUGCCAUGGCCUUAGCUUCCAAUCCAGUGUUCCAUUCUAAGUCCAAACACAUAGAAGUGGACUAUCAUUUCAUACGAGAAAGAGUGGUUUCUAAGAAAAUCUCUUUCGCUUAUAUUGCUACUAAUGAUCAGAUUACUGAUAUAUUUACUAAGCCCCUCACUUCUUUUCGGUUUCUUUAUCUCAAAUCCAAACUUUUGGUGCUACCCAACCCCAUCAUCUUGAGGGGGGGAUGAUAAGACUAUGAAGCCAUUGUAGCAUUAUCAACAAUUGAAGCCUCAGUCUCAACAGUUGAAGCCUUAGCUUAGUGUAUCAAGUAUAGCUGUAAAUAGAUAUAAAUAUCAAAGUUGUAGUAGUGGUGGUUAGGAUGGAUGAGUUAGAGUUUGUUAUAACAAACUCCUAGCCAACUCUUGUAUCAAGUAUAAAUAGGUGUAUGAUUG